UCUUAUUUCCCUCCUCUCUCCAAAGCACUCAUAAACAGUGUUAAUUUGUGAGUUUUGAUUUCUAUGUAGCUAAUCAUGCAAUUUAUGCGACUCAGUUGACCUGGUUUAGAAUUUUGAGGUGAUUUUGGUGAAAAUGAUGCAGAAAAUUGAGUUGUACAAAUGAAAAUUUAUAUUUAUUUUUAAUUAACUUGCUUCCUGGAUUAAUUUUAUUUUAGUGAAAUCUAAUACUCUUUCCAUCUUAUCUAGUGCGCACCCGAAGGGUCUGGGUAGCGACUGCAGACUCUCCCGCCAUAAUUAUAAAAAAAAAAAAAAAAGGAAAAAAAGAUUGAGUUGAGUUGUCUAAUUUUUAUUAUUCAAUUUGCCGUCCACUAAAUAAUUAUUGACACAUUAUUUUACGUUAAAAUGUCACUUACUUUUAAGCACAAGGAGUAGUUAGAGCAAGUUGAAAAUGUUAACUUAAAAUAAUGUGUUAAUAAUUAAUUAGGAUGAACAACAAAUUAGAUAAUAGAAAUUGGACAUGAGAUCUCUACUCACAAAUAUUGACUUAUUUUUACACUCACAAAUUUAAAAAAAAUAAAAAAAUUAAUACAAUUGAAACUAUAAAUUUUACUUAUAUUUUUUUAUCUUGAUAUAUCCUUACAUUGAAAAAUAGUUUAAAUAAGAAUACUUAAUGUUUAUUAAUAUUAAUUAUAAGACACAUUAAAUAAAGAAAUAAAAGUAAAUUAUAUUCUUAAUUAGGGAAGUAAUCUAUAAUUUGAGACAAACAAAAGAAGACAAUAGUGGUUUCGUCCGUUUAAACUAAUGAAUGACAUUGUUUUAUUUCUUAAUUUUUUUUUACCGAUUGUUUACUUAUUUUAGUUUUGAUUCAACACAUUUAUCCCUUCAUAUAAAAAUGCUUCAAAUAUUAAAAAAAAAAAAAAAAAAAAAAAAAAAAAAAAAGGAGAAAAAAAAAAAAAAAAAAAAAAAAAAAAAAAAAAAAAAAAAAAAAAAAAAAAAAAAAAAAAAAAAAAAAAAUUGACACAGAAGGUUGUUAAUUCUCAAAAGAAAUUCAAAAAAUUAAUGCUCAACUUUUAUGGCACCAAACCGAAAAAUAUACAAAUCUUUGCCAUUUUUAAAGUUGGAAAUUUAAUUUAAGAGAAACACUCAAAAUUAAUAAAAUUAAUAAAAAAUUUUAUUUCUCACAAUCUGAAUGCAUACAGAAGAACUAAAACCCCAUAGAUCGCGAUAUAUAUUCUACUUCAUAACACAAAUCCAUCACUGAAACCACAUACACGAAAAGAAGCAUAAAAAAGGAACAAUAACUCGACAUCCAACUCAGUGCCUCCAGAGUGCGAAAACUGAGAACAGGAGAGAGGUUGCAAUGAAGGCGCUGGAGAUUGGCAGAGAGAACGCAUCUCCUAUAUCUGGUGAAGGUGCCGGCGCCUGAGCAGAGACAGUGGUGAUGGCGACGACGGAGAGAGCCACAAGGGCGUAUGCUAGCAAGGAGACCUUCACAAUGUUAAUUUGCGCCAUAGGAUACUAAUUCGCAGAAAACUCAAAUUGUAUAUGAAAUGUGACUGUGUGAGUUUCAAGGGUUCGUUGGUGUUGUAUUUAUAUAGAGGGGAUGUGGGGUCCACGAAAGAAAAAGUGACAGCUGGUGACGGGAUAUUAUUGGUUAACAGAACAAAACACAGGUCAGC
rnacentral:lncRNA from 1 species